UUGGAGCUGUUUUGAAGCAUUCCGGUCCAUUCAGCCAUUUGAGAAUGCUUUUAAAAGCAUUAGCGCUUGCUUUGGCACUGAGGUUCUGAUCUAUUUCACCUUCUUCAGAACUCUCUUUUUCUACAACAUCCUCCUCAUCUUGAUCAAUGGGCUUUUUCUCCUCCUGCCACAAAUUGCAAUUCCUCCUCAUUUUCAGAACAGCAGCACACAUUCGCUCGCGGAGCCCUGGCUGCUCACUGGGACGGGUAUUCUAACAGACUCUGUUAUGUUUUAUGGUUAUUAUUCCAACCCCAUAAGCGGAAAUUGCGGAGCUAACAACAAAAUCAUGUGUCCUGAAGAAUACAACACAACACUGGCAUAUAUCUUUACCCUUGGGAAAGGCCUGUUUGUCACCUGUAUAAUGCUACUCCACAGCAUGUCAAAAUCAUUUGAGAGGACUUUCCGUACAUUCAAGUCUAAUGGUAAUCUAGCUUUGAAAGUGUUCAGUUUUUGGGACUUUAACGUGAACAAGGAGCAGUCUGUGAAACGGCAGAAACUCAUCUACACUCAAC